rnacentral:rRNA from 1 species
AUAAGAGGUCCAGCCUGCCCAGUGACAAAUGUUCAACGGCCGCGGUAUCCUAACCGUGCGAAGGUAGCGUAAUCACUUGUUCUUUAAAUGUGGACUAGUAUGAACGGCACCACGAGGGUUAUACUGUCUCCUUUCUCCAAUCAGUGAAACUAAUCUCCCCGUGAAGAAGCGGGGAUAAAAAUAUAAGACGAGAAGACCCUAUGGAGCUUAAAAGUUUACUUCAAACGCUAACCCCUACAAAGUCAUAGACUACCACAAGAAGCCACGCGCCAUGAAAACAACUUUUAGGUUGGGGUGACCAUGGAGCACAAAACAACCUCCACGCUGAACAGGCCUCCAAGCCUCGAGCCAAGGGCCACAACCCGCCGCACUAAAAAAUUAACAUCCAUUGAUCCAAUGAAUUUUGAUCAACGAACCAAGUUACCCUAGGGAUAACAGCGCAAUCUACUUCAAGAGUUCCUAUCGACAAGUGGGUUUACGACCUCGAUGUUGGAUCAGGGUGUCCCAGUGGUGCAGCCGCUACUAAUGGUUCGUUUGUUCAACGAUUAAAACCCUACGU